rnacentral:rRNA from 1 species
UACGAAGGGGGCUAGCGUUGCUCGGAAUCACUGGGCGUAAAGCGCACGUAGGCGGAUUGCUAAGUCAGGGGUGAAAUCCUAGAGCUCAACUCCAGAACUGCCUUUGAUACUGAGGAUCUUGAGUAUGGGAGAGGUGAGUGGAACUGCGAGUGUAGAGGUGAAAUUCGUAGAUAUUCGCAAGAACACCAGUGGCGAAGGCGGCUCACUGGCCCAUUACUGACGCUGAGGCACGAAAGCGUGGGGAGCAAACAGG